rnacentral:rRNA from 1 species
AGAGUUUGAUCCUGGCUCAGAUUGAACGCUGGCGGCAGGCCUAACACAUGCAAGUCGAGCGGCAGCACGGGAAGCUUGCUUCCUGGUGGCGAGCGGCGGACGGGUGAGUAAUGCAUAGGAAUCUGCCCGGUAGUGGGGGAUAACCUGGGGAAACCCAGGCUAAUACCGCAUACGUCCUACGGGAGAAAGCAGGGGCUCUUCGGACCUUGCGCUAUCGGAUGAGCCUAUGUCGGAUUAGCUGGUUGGUGAGGUAAUGGCUCACCAAGGCGACGAUCCGUAGCUGGUCUGAGAGGAUGAUCAGCUACAUCGGGACUGAGACACGGCCCGAACUCCUACGGGAGGCAGCAGUGGGGAAUAUUGGACAAUGGGCGCAAGCCUGAUCCAGCCAUGCCGCGUGUGUGAAGAAGGCCCUCGGGUUGUAAAGCACUUUCAGUGGGGAAGAAAGCCUGGUGGUUAAUACCCGUCAGGAAGGACAUCACCCACAGAAGAAGCACCGGCUAACUCCGUGCCAGCAGCCGCGGUAAUACGGAGGGUGCGAGCGUUAAUCGGAAUUACUGGGCGUAAAGCGCGCGUAGAUGGCUUGAUAAGCCGGUUGUGAAAGCCCCGGGCUCAACCUGGGAACGGCAUCCGGAACUGUCAGGCUAGAGUGCAGGAGAGGAAGGUAGAAUUCCUGGUGUAGCGGUGAAAUGCGUAGAGAUCGGGAGGAAUACCAGUGGCGAAGGCGGCCUUUCUGGACUGACACUGACACUGGGGUGCGAAAGCGUGGGUAGCAAACAGGAUUAGAUACCCUGGUAGUCCACGCCGUAAACGAUGUCGACUAGCCGUUGGGUCCUUCGCGGACUUUGUGGCGCAGUUAACGCGAUAAGUCGACCGCCUGGGGAGUACGGCCGCAAGGUUAAAACUCAAAUGAAUUGACGGGGGCCCGCACAAGCGGUGGAGCAUGUGGUUUAAUUCGAUGCAACGCGAAGAACCUUACCUACCCUUGACAUCCUGCGAACCCUUCGGAGACGAAGGGGUGCCUUCGGGAACGCAGAGACAGGUGCUGCAUGGCUGUCGUCAGCUCGUGUUGUGAAAUGUUGGGUUAAGUCCCGUAACGAGCGCAACCCUUGUCCCUAUUUGCCAGCGAUUCGGUCGGGAACUCUAGGGAGACUGCCGGUGACAAACCGGAGGAAGGUGGGGACGACGUCAAGUCAUCAUGGCCCUUACGGGUAGGGCUACACACGUGCUACAAUGGUCAGUACAAAGGGUUGCGAACUUGCGAGAGUGAGCCAAUCCCAGAAAGCUGAUCUCAGUCCGGAUCGGAGUCUGCAACUCGACUCCGUGAAGUCGGAAUCGCUAGUAAUCGUGAAUCAGAAUGUCACGGUGAAUACGUUCCUGGGCCUUGUACACACCGCCCGUCACACCAUGGGAGUGGACUGCACCAGAAGUGGUUAGCCUAACCUUCGGGAGGGCGAUCACCACGGUGUGGUUCAUGACUGGGGUGAAGUCGUAACAAGGUA